GCGUUAUCCGGAAUGAUUGGGCGUAAAGCGUCUGUAGGUGGCUUUUUAAGUUCGCCGUCAAAUCCCAGGGCUCAACCCUGGACAGGUGGUGAAAACUACUAAGCUAGAGUACGGUAGGGGCAGAGGGAAUUUCCGGUGGAGCGAUGAAAUGCGUAGAGAUCGGAAGGAACACCAACGGCGAAAGCACUCUGCUGGGCCGACACUGACACUGAGAGACGAAAGCUAG
rnacentral:rRNA from 1 species